AUGAAGACACUGGUCUCCAAGCUGUGCUCCCCGGCCGGCCAAGAACCAGGCACCCCCACCCCGAGGACAGCAGCAGAGGCUGGGCUGAGCGCCCAGGCCCUCAAGGAGAUGGCCGCAGGCACCAAGAGCAUCGCCCUCAUCGCAGCCACCCGUCGCUCCAGGGCACAGGACCCUGAGGGCAGCAGUGGCCGCUCCUCCCUCCACCCUCCAGAGGAGGCGGCUCCAGACCCCAAGGACCCCAAGCCCAGCAUCACCCCAGAGACGAGCCUGGCCGAUAGGAAGUGGCUGCAAGCCAGCCCGGGCAGGGCCCGCUCUGCAGAGAGGAAGGCCAGGGGGAAACCGUCGCCCCCUGUUACGAGGAGAGUCCAGCCGGCAACAGAAAAACUUCAGCCACCCUCCACGGAUCACAUAGCUGAGAGCCAGCCGCCCCCUGCACUCCCUCAGCUGUCAAAGUCUCCAGGAAAGAGCUUUCUCCCUGCUGUCCCUUCAGCCUCUAAGAUGAAACCCAGCCUCAGUUUUCAUGCAGGGUCUACGGACAGCGGAGGCCGACGUCACAGCCCACUGCCUCCCAGCCACCCCUGCAAGCGCCAGGGCGGCAGCGCCAAGAGGCCACGAAGACCAAAGUAAAGAUGGCGGCAGGCAGAGCAGGUGGAGAGAAUGUCUUGGGUCCCGGGGUAUCUCUGCCCCGAACCUGGACUUGAGAGACAGGAACUCUGCCAGGGACGCUUCAGGGGCAGCCUGCCCCAUGUAUGCUUCCUGCAGCCCCAUGCAUAGGUCCGGUGGCUGCCUCACCAACCACCUUCAGGAGAGGGCUGUCUAGGGAGCAUCAGAUCCCUUCCCAGAGACCUCAAGCCUUUGGGGGCCAUUCCCACUCAUGGGUGCUCUUCCCUGGAUCACCCCACUCUGCGGUUCCUGAUCUGGAAGCACCUUCUCCCAGAAGGGGAGACUCUAGGGGCUGGAACACUAGGGUCUCAUCCCCAGGUCAGGGACUUCUUACCUGAACAGCUCCUGGCAAGAGGCAGGAGAGAACGUGUCUCCAACACCCACGUACUAGCUGAGGUUCUCCAGAGAAAGAGAACCAGAGGGGAGUGUGUGUGUACAUCUGUGAAUGUGUAAGUGUGUGUGGAUGGGAGUCUACACAAAACAGGGAGGGAAAGAGAGAGACUGAGAUCUACUGGAAGAAAUUGGCUCAUGUGGUUGUGGGAGCCUGCAAGUCUGCAGGGCUGGCUGGAGGCCCAGGGGGGGCUAGUCGAUGCUUCAGCCUGGAGUGUGAAGGGCAUCUGGAGCCGAAUUCCCUCUUCAGAGGUCCCCUCCGGGGACCUCAGUGUUUUUAAUCUGUCUGCUUUCAGCUGAUUGGACAAGGCCCACCCAUAUUAAGAAGGCUCAUCUGCUUUACUCAAAGUCUACUUACCAAUUUAAAAGUUAAUCUCAUCUAAAAAAUACCUCCCUUGUGAUACUGAGAUUGGCAUUUGACCAGACAUCUGGAUCCGUGGGCCAGGCCAGUUUGAUACACAAUUAACCGUCUUGCCCCACAGGCCCUGGCCAGCCUCCAGAGUGACACUGGUCCCUGCAGUCAUGGGCUCCCAGGGAAACACAAGAAUGCGCUCCCACUGCCAUGACCUACCCA
ensembl:lncRNA